UCCACGUGGCCUCCUCAGUCCCCACCCUCUCUCUCUCUCUCUGGAAGCCUUGGGUGGUAAUCCAGUCUCAACCUCUAAUCAGGGCCUCACACUUCUAACGUGCAGAGUAGAGAAUGACGCGGAGCACCUUCACCCCCAAUCUGGAGAGGCAGAUGCGAAUUACCAGUCACUUUGAUGCCACAAUCAUCUUGGAUAACAGAAACACAAGAAUGUUCUAUAGCCCAAAUAUGAAGCUACGUCUAUUCUGGAUGAAGGAGGAAGCAAGCUUUCUUUUGAUGGAAAUCCAGAGGUGUUCACUGAAGCCAUUUAACGAGGUGAGAAUCCCACUCUAACUUCUCAUGCUUUUACACUCUUCCAGGUGUUGUUUUCUGUUGGAUUCCUUAGAAUCUCUCCUGUGCAUAAACAUUUUGGGAGUUGAUUUGAAGGGCAUUUAAAUGCAAUUUUAGGGUUCCCCCCAACCCAGAUCCUCCACAGGUUUCCUCUGCUCUAUGAUUUCCCUAACAAUUUUUCAGAUAUUUUUGCAGCCUCUA